UAGGGAAUCUUCCACAAUGGACGCAAGUCUGAUGGAGCAACGCCGCGUGAGUGAAGAAGGUUUUCGGAUCGUAAAGCUCUGUUGUUGGUGAAGAAGGAUAGAGGCAGUAACUGGUCUUUAUUUGACGGUAAUCAACCAGAAAGUCACGGCUAACUACGUGCCAGCAGCCGCGGUAAUACGUAGGUGGCAAGCGUUGUCCGGAUUUAUUGGGCGUAAAGCGAGCGCAGGCGGAAUGAUAAGUCUGAUGUGAAAGCCCACGGCACAACCGUGGAACUGCAUCGGAAACUGUCAUUCUUGAGUGCAGAAGAGGAGAGUGGAAUUCCAUGUGUAGCGGUGGAAUGCGUAGAUAUAUGGAAGAACACCAGUGGCGAAGGCGGCGCUCUGGUCUGCAACUGACGCUGAGGCUCGAAAGCAUGGGUAGCGAACAGG
rnacentral:rRNA from 1 species